UAGGUGGUUUGUCGCGUUGUUCGUGAAAUCUCACGGCUUAACUGUGAGCGUGCGGGCGAUACGGGCAGACUAGAGCACUGCAGGGGAGACUGGAAUUCCUGGUGUAGCGGUGGAAUGCGCAGAUAUCAGGAGGAACACCGGUGGCGAAGGCGGGUCUCUGGGCAGUAACUGACGCUGAGGAGCGAAAGCGUGGGGAGCGAACAGGAUUAGAUACCCUGGUAGUCCACGCCGUAAACGGUGGGUACUAGGUGUGGGUUUCCUUCCUUGGGAUCCGUGCCGUAGCUAACGCAUUAAGUACCCCGCCUGGGGAGUACGGCCGCAAGGCUAAAACUCAAAGGAAUUGACGGGGGCCCGCACAAGCGGCGGAGCAUGUGGAUUAAUUCGAUGCAACGCGAAGAACCUUACCUGGGUUUGACAUGCACAGGACGCGUCUAGAGAUAGGCGUUCCCUUGUGGCCUGUAUGCAGGUGGUGCAUGGCUGUCGUCAGCUCGUGUCGUGAGAUGUUGGGUUAAGUCCCGCAACGAGCGCAACCCUUGUCUCAUGUUGCCAGCGGGUAAUGCCGGGGACUCGUGAGAGACUGCCGGGGUCAACUCGGAGGAAGGUGGGGAUGACGUCAAGUCAUCAUGCCCCUUAUGUCCAGGGCUUCACACAUGCUACAAUGGCCGGUACAAAGGGCUGCGAUGCCGUAAGGUUAAGCGAAUCCUUUUAAAGCCGGUCUCAGUUCGGAUUGGGGUCUGCAACUCGACCCCAUGAAGUCGGAG
rnacentral:rRNA from 1 species